rnacentral:lncRNA from 1 species
CGAUAUAAUAUCAAUGGGUGUACAUGCAAUUUUUUGGCAUUUUUCAAAAUGUGUAUUUAUUAUAUGUCAUUAAAAGGAAUCCCAGAAACAAAAAAAAAAUCUUUUGUCGAGCAGUUGAAGGCUGUGCACCGCAUGUCUUUUGGCAAAUUCAUUUUAAAAAUUGAACCCUCUACUGUAAAAAGAUACAUAUGGUAAUCUUUGCAUUUGAAGCACGUCUUAUUUUCUUCUACCUAUAGGAUAAAACUUUCAUAUUAAUAUGUGUAUACCAAC